AAGUGAGACUGUCUAAAAAAAAAACUAAGGCGAGCUCAGGGAGGACAGAAACCUCCUGUGGAGCAGAAGGGCAAAAGCUUGCCUGAUCUUGAUUUUCAGUACGAAUACAAACCGUGAAAGCGGGGCCUCACGAUCCUUCUGACCUUUUGGGUUUUAAGCAAGAG
rnacentral:ncRNA from 1 species